AGAGAGAGACAUGCGCGCAUAUCAAUAAGCGGAGGAAAAGAAACUAACUAGGAUUCCCUCAGUAACGGCGAGUGAAGCGGGAAGAGCUCAAAUUUGAAAUCUUAAAGGGUUUCCCUUGACGAAUUGUAGUUUAAAGAAGUGUUUUCUGUUGAGGUUUUGGUAAAAGUUCUUUGGAAUAGGACAUCAUAGAGGGUGAGAAUCCCGUAUUUGACCAUUUACUUUCAGCUUUGUGAUACACUUUCAAAGAGUCGGAUUGUUUGGGAAUGCAGUCCAAAAUGGGUGGUAAAUUUCAUCUAAAGCUAAAUAUUGGCGAGAGACCGAUAGCGAACAAGUACCGUGAGGGAAAGAUGAAAAGAACUUUGAAAAGAGAGUUAAACAGUACGUGAAAUUGUCAAAAGGGAAGCGUUUGACACCAGUGUUGUUUUCUCGAAAAUCAAUUAAAAAAGGCAGGAUUUUGUGUUGUAUUGACUUUAUCAGCUUUCUGCACUCUUUUCUUGUCUUUUUUAAUGCACUUUUCGUUUAACAAGUCAACAUCAAUUUCUUUUGUUGUAAAAGGGUCAUUGGAAGGUGGCUUUCUUUUCGGAGAAAGUGUUUAUAGCCUUUGGCCUCUGCAAUCGGAGAGAUUGAGGUCUGCAGCGUAGAUCCUUCGGGGCUAGAUACAUUUGUGCUAAGUUAUAGCAUUUUAUAGACAACUUGUUGACUAUGAUUUAGUCUUGUAGCUUACUCGCUUAUGUUAUUUUACCUACGCUUAGGAUGUUGAUGUGAUACUGCGAGCA
rnacentral:rRNA from 1 species